rnacentral:rRNA from 1 species
AACGAACGCUGGCGGCAGGCCUAACACAUGCCAGUCGAGCGGACCUUUCGGGGUCAGCGGCGGACGGGUGAGUAACGCGUGGGAAUAUGCCCUUCUCUACGGAAUAGUCCUGGGAAACUGGGGGUAAUACCGUAUACGCCCUUUGGGGGAAAGAUUUAUCGGGGAAGGAUUAGCCCGCGUUGGAUUAGGUAGUUGGUGGGGUAAUGGCCUACCAAGCCGACGAUCCAUAGCUGGUUUGAGAGGAUGAUCAGCCACACUGGGACUGAGACACGGCCCAGACUCCUACGGGAGGCAGCAGUGGGGAAUCUUAGACAAUGGGGGCAACCCUGAUCGAGCCAUGCCGCGUGAGUGAUGAAGGCCUCAGGGUUGUAAAGCUCUUUCAGCUGGGAAGAUAAUGACGGUACCAGCAGAAGAAGCCCCGGCUAACUCCGUG